CCUACGGGGCGCUGCAGUGAGGAAUAUUGGUCAAUGGCCGGAAGGCUGAACCAGCCAUGCCGCGUGAAGGUCAGUGCCCUAUGGGCGUUAAACUUCUUUUGUGCGGGAGCAAUAAUGGUCACGUGUGGCCAGACGAGAGUACCGUACGAAUAAGCAUCGGCUAACUCCGUGCCAGCAGCCGCGGUAAUACGGGGGAUGCAAGCGUUAUCCGGAUUUAUUGGGUUUAAAGGGUGCGUAGGCUGUUAGGUAAGUCAGCGGUGAAAUGCCCCCGCUCAACGGGGUGAAGUGCCAUUGAUACUGCCUGGCUGGAAUGCGGAUGCCGUGGGAGGAAUGUGUGGUGUAGCGGUGAAAUGCAUAGAUAUCACACAGAACACCGAUUGCGAAGGCAUCUCACGAAUCCGCGAUUGACGCUGAUGCACGAAAGCGUGGGUAUCAAACAGGAUUAGAUACCCGGGUAGUC
rnacentral:rRNA from 1 species